rnacentral:rRNA from 1 species
UACGGAGGGUGCAAGCGUUGCUCGGAAUUAUUGGGCGUAAAGGGUAGGUAGGUGGUCUCAUUUGUCUGGGGUGAAAGCCUUGGGCUUAACUCAAGAAGUGCCCCAGAAACGGUGAGACUGGAGUCCUGGAGAGGGUCGUGGAAUUCCCGGUGUAGCGGUGAAAUGCGUAGAGCUCGGGAAGAACAUCGGUGGCGAAAGCGCUCUACUGGACUGCAACUGACACUCAGGGACGAAAGCUAGGGGAGCGAAUGGG